AUUUCUAUUCUUUUUUUAGGCAAAAGCGAAGAAAGAGAACAAAAAAGGCUUUGCUAAGCUACUUUCCAACAGAUUACUCGAAUGCAAUUUUGAUGAUUUUCGAUAAAAGAUCACUCUUCAAACCCUGUUGGCUUUCUGACACCUGUUAAAAAUGUCUCCGAGGUUUUAUAAUAUUCUCAACUACCUGUAUUCUAAGGACAUAAUUACUUUUCUCAACACUACAAGUUAUAGUUUUUCAUCUAACAUUUAUCUAACGGAAUCAACAUCGCGAUGCGGUCAAAAUCAUCGACUUAUGAUUUAUUGGUAAAAGAAAGUGGUUACAUCUAUUCAAUUUAAAAGGAAUUUUUGAAUUUAUCUA